CCUGUUUCCAUUCAUUCAUCUUCAUUCAGUGCUCUGUUGCACUCGACUGCUGCUGCUUUUGCAUUUGAUUUGUCUAGUGGCUGAUGUUUUGUCAUCUGUCAGAUGCAUCGCUGACGUCACCGAAACAUUAAUAUUCAUAAUGCUCGCAGCACAAGUCGGAACGAAUUUAACAGAAAGUCUAUCAGCCCCGGAGGAGGGAGGCCCAGAGGCCGGGUGGCUUAUCAAUCAUGUGACGAGGCAUGAAUGAAUUCCGCGUCUACCUUUCCAUCAUCGAAAAGUUUAGUAUUCAAACAGUGACAAAUCGCCCGAGGGGAGGCCUGAUAUUUGAGUCUAAAGAUAUCGUUUAUAAGACUAUAAGCUUUGGCAUAGAUCGGUUAAGAGAACUUUCACUGUACAAUUUUAUGCCUGGUCGCAUUGCAAUUUCUCGCGUCUGUGUGUAUAUAUAGAACGCUGUCUAUAUAGGUGGCAAACAAAAAUUCAACGUUUUUAUGCGUUUUCUUUACUGUUGCUAUUGUUGUAAAUAUUGCACAUAUUUUUCGAAUUUGUAGAUUAAAAGUGGGAGAAAGAUAGAAAUUUCACCAUACAUUCGGAGAACGAGAGACAGACACAGACACGUUGAGAGAGCGGGGAAUGUCUUGCCUCAGUUUGCACUUGAAAUAGUUUUGUGUAUACCUGUCUCUUUCGCUCACUAGAGAACUAUGUGUUGUUUGCUCUCUUUCCACGCUUCAGAUCAUAAAAACUGCUGUUGCUUUAGUUAAUUGUUGCAGCGCCACCAAUUAUCAUUUGGUGCUUAUCAAAACGCAUAUAAAACUAGCAACAAUUUCGAAAGGGCAACAUCAAGCGUGGAAUUGUGCAAUAAAUGUGGCAUGGAACGGUCUGGCGAGGUCUCACCCUGUCCGUAAUAAAUCUUCCAGGUAUAUGGCUCUUCCCUUUGUAAAAGGAUACUCCCUUAGACUUUCACAUCCCUACCCUUUCACCGCUUUAGCUUAAACCCCUACAAGGUGCCAACAAACCAGAGCGAAACCGCAAAAAGGUAAACCGAACCCUCCCCCUUAAGGAAACCACAAAACGUUGCAAUCAACUGGCACUCCAGGGGGGGGCAAAUAUGGGCUGGUCCCCACUACCACAAAGAGACAGAGAGAGGCCCUAUAAUGAAUGCAAUUAUGCAAAUUUCCACUCUCUGCAGCCAUAGAAGAGCGACAGGAAAAUCAAAUCACACGAUAACAAUCGAGAAAGGGGUUUCAAAAUCAUAAUGGAUAUUUAAUUUAACCAAA